AUUGAACGCUGGCGGCAGGCCUAACACAUGCAAGUCGAGCGGAUGAAGGGAGCUUGCUCCUGGAUUCAGCGGCGGACGGGUGAGUAAUGCCUAGGAAUCUGCCUGGUAGUGGGGGAUAACGUCCGGAAACGGGCGCUAAUACCGCAUACGCCCUGAGGGAGAAAGUGGGGGAUCUUCGGACCUCACGCUAUCAGAUGAGCCUAGGUCGGAUUAGCUAGUUGGUGGGGUAAAGGCCUACCAAGGCGACGAUCCGUAACUGGUCUGAGGGGAUGAUCAGUCACACUGGAACUGAGACACGGUCCAGACUCCUACGGGAGGCAGCAGUGGGGAAUAUUGGACAAUGGGCGAAAGCCUGAUCCAGCCAUGCCGCGUGUGUGAAGAAGGUCUUCGGAUUGUAAAGCACUUUAAGUUGGGAGGAAGGGCAGUAAGUUAAUACCUUGCUGUUUUGACGUUACCAACAGAAUAAGCACCGGCUAACUUCGUG
rnacentral:rRNA from 1 species